rnacentral:rRNA from 1 species
GACGAACGCUGGCGGCGUGCCUAAGACAUGCAAGUCGAGCGACGAAACCGACUUUUUGCCGCAAGGUGGAAAAGUUGGCUGAAAGCGGCACACGGGUGAGUAAUACUUGGAUAAUCUACCUCCCGAAGGGGGAUAACUCUACGAAAGUGGGGCUAAUACCGCAUGACACCUUUUCUCGCAAGGGGAAGGGUUAAAGGCUGCCGGGUAACCGGUGGUUUUCGGGAGAUGAGUCCAAGUCCUAUCAGCUUGUUGGCGGGGUAACGGCCCACCAAGGCUAUGACGGGUAGCUGGUCUGAGAGGACGGUCAGCCACACUGGGAUUGAGAUACGGCCCAGACUCCUACGGGAGGCAGCAGUCGGGAAUAUUGGGCAAUGCCCGAAAGGGUGACCCAGCGACGCCGCGUGGAGGAUGAAGGCUUUCGAGUCGUAAACUCCUGUUCGGGGAGACGAAGUCCCGCAAGGGAUUGACGGUAUCCCCGGAGUAAGUCCCGGCUAACUCCGUGCCAGCAGCCGCGGUAAGCUAGUCUACG